rnacentral:lncRNA from 1 species
UCCAUUGAAAAGACAACAUAAUGAAUGUAAUUACUAUAUUCUUAUUACAAUCAAAGUGAAAUCCUUUCCCAGGUUCAUAAACCAAUUACAUCAUUCGUUGUUCUUAUGUAUAUUACAUACAAUUAUAAUAAUCUAUUACAUGAUGGUUAACUAUCCAUCUUAGCCUUGCCCUUAUUUCUCUUAGCAUUCUCAGUAUGCUCGGCUUUAACUGCAAUCACAUAAUUCAUGCAAGAAGUGAGCAUAACAAGCUCAGCAAGUCUAACAAAGAAUAAUAUCAAUACCACAUUUGUGAAUUAUAUGAAAAUCUUUUAUAACUGAACAAAUAGUCAGGAAAUAUUAUGAAACAUUAAUAUUUAACAAUUCAUAACAUCAAUUCCUAAAGUAUAUAAUAGUUUAGGAAUUCUGAACCGGUCGAAAGACCAUGAACAGUAUCUUUCUAUUUUCAUACUUGAAAAGGACAUCACAGCACUAAGGCUGUACAUCCGGCAUUUCUU